rnacentral:rRNA from 1 species
GGGGGAGUNCCGANUUUUAAAACUCAUCAACCCUGUGAACAUACCUAAAACGUUGCCUCGGCGGGAACAGACGGCCCCGUAACACGGGCCGCCCCCGCCAGAGGACCCCCUAACUCUGUUUCUAUAAUGUUUCUUCUGAGUAAACAAGCAAAUAAAUUAAAACUUUCAACAACGGAUCUCUUGGCUCUGGCAUCGAUGAAGAACGCAGCGAAAUGCGAUAAGUAAUGUGAAUUGCAGAAUUCAGUGAAUCAUCGAAUCUUUGAACGCACAUUGCGCCCGCCAGUAUUCUGGCGGGCAUGCCUGUUCGAGCGUCAUUACAACCCUCAGGCCCCCGGGCCUGGCGUUGGGGAUCGGCGGAAGCCCCCUGCGGGCACAACGCCGUCCCCCAAAUACAGUGGCGGUCCCGCCGCAGCUUCCAUUGCGUAGUAGCUAACACCUCGCAACUGGAGAGCGGCGCGGCCACGCCGUAAAACACCCAACUUCUGAAUGUUGACCUCGAAUCAGGUAGGAAUACCCGCUGAACUUAAGCAUAUCAAUAAGCGGAGAAA